GCCUCUCCAGCUGCAGGAGUCCUGCAUUUGGUCCUCACAACUGUUCUUGCUAAAUCCCAACAGGAGAAAAUGAGGCCAACAGCUGUAGGAGUCAGAGGGCAGAGGAAAGCUGGCAAAGGCAGAGUGCAGCCACGCUGUGUCCUGGCAGUGAAAGCUGACUGCACAUCACGCAGGAUGUGAGAUUCAAUUUGGCAAAGUGGGGCUCUCCUUGAGAUUCUGGGAGCCUCCCCACUCAGGCAGUGAGGGACACUGCCGCAGUGCCCGCCCUGAAGCUCCCUGGCUUCGCCUGCCCGGCCGAGGCACGGUCAGCAGCGGGGGACACUCCCGUGUCUCGAGGAGAGUCGGGGAGCGGCUAAGACAGAGCGCUUCGCUGUCUGCCGUGUGUGGAGGAGAGGCGGCGUCCGAGGAGGAAGCACCCUGUGAGCAGAGGCUUUCUUCCAGCUGUUUCUCAGCAGGCUCAGCACCCCACCCCAGCAGGCCCACAGUGGCAGUGUGUGCCAUGAAGCCUCUGGUGGGGACUGGAGGUGGGAGUGGGCAGGUGGCAAGGAUCCAAACUGGUCUGCACUGGACACUGGGCCUGCAAAGGGGUCAGGGUGAAUGUCUCCCAUCAGCCAGGAGGUUCUGGGAGAGCCAGGAGCCAGGAGGUUCUCCCGUCAGCCAGGAGGUUCUGAUUAAUUCAGAGCCAGCAGAGAUAUAAGAGAAGGUCAGUUCACCCUGAAGUUGGCAUCUCCAGCUUCCCCUAAACUCCCUUGACUGAUGGAGGCACAUCAGUGUCUAAGUAUGAGAUUUAACCCUGCUCUUAACAGGCUCAAAGGAGUGAGUUGACUCCACCACGGUUUGCAACGGGACCCUCGGGUGGUGUGGUUCUCCCUCAGGGGGAUGAAUCUCAAACCAGUGCUCUCAGGGGAUGUCUGGAUCCAAUCAGAUGCUGAAUCAGUUUAAUCCUUCAUGCAGCAGAGCUGGCAGUCAGGUGUGGUGUAACUAGCACAACAUGCCCUUUUUCUUCCUCACAGCAUCUUCCCUAAUAUUUUGACAGGGCCUUUAGCAGGCCUGUCUGGAGGAUUAAUAAACCUUUCUCUGUAAUCAGCA